rnacentral:rRNA from 1 species
CCUACGGGAGGCAGCAGUGGGGAAUAUUGCACAAUGGGCGCAAGCCUGAUGCAGCGACGCCGCGUGAGGGAUGACGGCCUUCGGGUUGUAAACCUCUUUCAGUAGGGAAGAAGCGUAAGUGACGGUACCUGCAGAAGAAGCGCCGGCUAACUACGUGCCAGCAGCCGCGGUAAUACGUAGGGCGCAAGCGUUAUCCGGAAUUAUUGGGCGUAAAGAGCUCGUAGGCGGUUUGUCGCGUCUGCUGUGAAAGACCGGGGCUCAACUCCGGUUCUGCAGUGGGUACGGGCAGACUAGAGUGCAGUAGGGGAGACUGGAAUUCCUGGUGUAGCGGUGAAAUGCGCAGAUAUCAGGAGGAACACCGAUGGCGAAGGCAGGUCUCUGGGCUGUAACUGACGCUGAGGAGCGAAAGCAUGGGGAGCGAACAGGAUUAGAUACCCUGGUAGUCCAUGCCGUAAACGUUGGGCACUAGGUGUGGGGGACAUUCCACGUUUUCCGCGCCGUAGCUAACGCAUUAAGUGCCCCGCCUGGGGAGUACGGCCGCAAGGCAAAACUCAAAUGAAAUUGACGG